rnacentral:rRNA from 1 species
UAAGACUGGAAAGGAAGAUAAAAAAGGCAUUUUUUAUUUUUUAAAAGACCUAGUAAUAGGUAUGCUUUAGGAGGGGCUUGCGCCAUAUUAGUUAGUUGGUAGGGUAAUGGCCUACCAAGACGAUGAUGUGUAGCUGGACUGAGAGGUUGAACAGCCACAUUGGGACUGAGACACGGCCCAAACUCCUACGGGAGGCAGCAGUAGGGAAUUUUCGGCAAUGGAGGAAACUCUGACCGAGCAACGCCGCGUGAAUGACGAAGUACUUCGGUAUGUAAAGUUCUUUUAUCAAGGAAGAAAAGCAAAUGGCGAACCAUUUGUUUGCCGGUACUUGAUGAAUAAGCCCCGGCUAAUUAUGUGCCAGCAGCCGCGGUAAGACAUAAGGGGCAAGUGUUAUCCGGAAUUAUUGGGCGUAAAGGGUGCGUAGGCGGUCUAGUAAGUCAGUGGUGUAAUGGCAACGCUUAACGUUGUCCGGCUAUUGAAACUGCUAAACUUGAGUUAGAUAGAGGCGAGUGGAAUUCCAUGUGUAGCGGUAAAAUGCGUAAAUAUAUGGAGGAACACCAGAGGCGUAGGCGGCUCGCUGGGUCUUAACUGACGCUGAGGCACGAAAGCGUGGGGAGCAAACAGGAUUAGAUACCCUGGUAGUCCACGCCGUAAACGAUGAGUACUAAGUGUCGGGUUAAACCGGUACUGAAGUUAACACAUUAAGUACUCCGCCUGAGUAGUACGUACGCAAGUAUGAAACUUAAAGGAAUUGACGGGACUCCGCACAAGCGGUGGAUCAUGUUGUUUAAUUCGAAGAUACCCGAAAAACCUUACCAGGUCUUGACAUGUUUUUGCAAAAUGAUAGUAAUAUCGUGGAGGUUACCAGAAACACAGGUGGUGCAUGGUUGUCGUCAGCUCGUGUCGUGAGAUGUUAGGUUAAGUCCUAAAACGAGCGAAACCCUUAUCGUUAGUUGCCAGCACGUUAUGGUGGGGACUUUAACGAGACUGCAAUGAUAAAUUGGAGGAAGGUGAGGAUCACGUCAAAUCAGCAUGCCCCUUAUGACCUGGGCUCACAAACGUGAUACAAAUGGCUGUUACAAAGGGUAGCUGAAAAA